rnacentral:lncRNA from 1 species
CUUAUACAACUUAUACACCCCUCACCAAACUGAUUGGCCUAAAAUCCCUCAAAUCCUCGACACCCCUUUUCUUAGGAAUUAACACAAAAAAAGUAACAUUUAGACCUUUUUCAAAACUGCCAUACUCAUGGAACUCCCUAAAAAACCCAUCACCUCAUCAUUUACAAAAUUCCAAGAAAACUGCCAAAAACCCAUAGAAAAACUAUCCGGCCUAGGAACUUUGUCCCUACUAAACCUGAAAGAGCACUAAAAACCUCCUCCACAGUAAAGGGCUCCUCCACAGUAAAGGGCUCCUCCAAUAAAGCAGCCUCUUGAGCCUCAAAACCCUCAAACAGCAAGUCAUUUAAACUUGGUCUCCAUUCCCCUAAAUCAGAAAGCAGAUUCUAAAAAGCUUGAGCCAUCCCUCCCUUAAUAUCCUUUUCCUUGGACAACCACACUCCGUUAAUCUUAAUUUUGGCCAAUAAAUUCUUUUUACAGUGGCAUUAGCCAUCUUAUGGAAGAAAAAAAAAAAAAGUAUUUCUAUCCCCCUCCUUUAACCAAACCUCCCGAGAUUUUUGUCUCCAAGAAAUUUCUUCCAACAAAACCCACUCCUUAUACUCCUCCCUUGCUCCCUCUUGUGCUUCAACCUCCUCCAUAGACAAAAUACAGGACCUCUCCUUUGCAUCCCAAAACGCCACUUGCUCCAAUGCCCUAGCCUUCCUCACUUCAAGCUGGCCAAAAACUUCUCUAUUCCAAGUCAUUAGAUGAAACUUCAACGUUUUCAACUUUGCAGCCAAAAUAAAACUGAAGGAACCACGAAAGUUGAACCCCUCUCACCAAGAUUUGAGCAAAUCCUUAAACCCCUCCACUUUUAACCACAUAUUUUCAAAACAAAAAGGCAUAGGACCUCUCCUCAACCCUCCCCCAUCCAACAAAAUAGGGAAAUGAUUGGAUACUGGUCUAGGGAGCACACACUGCAUUGCUCCACUGAAAUGAGUUUCCUACACCUCAGAAACAAUAAACUGAUCUAGUUUGGACUGGAUUUGAUUGUUCAAACCACCACUCCAAGUAAAAGGGCCACCCAACAAAGGAAGAUCUCUAACUAUAAAUCCUCAAUUACAUCAGAAAACCUCCGCAUCACUCAAGUUAAUCUACCUCCACUACAGCGUUCACAUGGAAACCUGAUCAGAUUAAAAUCAUCUGCAACACACCAAGGUUCACCUUAAAGACCUUUGAUCACCCCUAAUUCAUCCCACAACAAUUCUCUCUCUUUGCAGCAUUGGCCCAUAAACCCCUGAAAAGCUCCUACUAAAAUUGUUUUGACAAUUUUGAAACCGACACGAAACCGAAAACUACCCCACUUCCAACUCAACCAAUUGCAAUACCCUUUUAUCCCAUAACAUUAAAAUACCUCCAGCUGCACCUUUCAAAUUCACCCCAGCCCAAUCUAAAAAAUGCCCCACACCAAGACUACACAUCGACCCCAUAGACAAUUCUUGAAGCUUUGUUUCCUAUAAACAGAUCAAGUCCGCUCUCUGAGACUUAAUCAAAGCCUUACUAACCUUCCUUUUAUCUCUUAUCAGUAGCCGCUCUUACAUUCCAAGAUAAGAUUCUGAUCCUCAUCUAACACUGGAAACACUGCCCCUACUAUCCACCCUUGAACCAGAAUAGUUUAUGGACCACUCCAUUUUUUUCAACUCCCUUUUAAACAGUGAAGACUCCAAGGUUUUCCUCCUCCCUCCAUUCCCAAGCCUCUGCCAAUCUCAUCUCUCUUUCAUCUUCUUGAGCAAUUGCAAAAUCUCCAUGUCAAACCCCUCAAUCGGCAUCCCCAAACAACUGAACCUUGUCAAACAGCUGUAAGACCAGCAAUCUGGCAGCCAAUCAUAAAAAAAAACCCUCCCCCAUCUCCUGAGUCCCAGACACAGCGUCACCCAACCCAAACUCCACCACAGCUGAACGAGGUGCAUCCACCUCCUCUCCAUCAGCCAACACUACCCGGAAUGGGGCUAUAGACUCCCCUUCCAAAGCUCCUGCUCCCACACCAACAAAAGAGUCCUCAACAGUGGCCACCACUGCCCUUUCCAACCCAGAAUAAGAAGAAACUCAUCCCCCAAAGAAAAGGAAGAAUUUGUAGCCAGAAAGGAAUACCUACAAACCUCCUCCAAAAGUGCUUCAUCGGUGAUGCAAACAUGACAAAACUCUGGCGGCCCUGUUCCACGCAAGUGGCAGCACCACCAGCCACCUCCUCAAGCAACCUCCCACCCACUCCAGCUCUCCACCCCAACACAGAAUGCUCCUGCUGCCCAACGCCCAAAGCCUUAGAAACAAUGGGGGUCCUUAUCUAACCCUCAAGGAGGCUCCCACCUGAACCCCAGACCCACUUACCUCACCUACUUACCAUCAACUGGGCUGAGUCACUUAACUGAACUUUGGGUCAAAAAGACGGAAGCCCACCUGACCCCAAACAACUACCCUCCCCCAAAGUCAAAUCCUCAGCAGAGCAGCCCACCUCCUUAGGCCCAAAUGCAACCCCACUUACAACCUCUCCUCCACCUACCACUUGGCCACCUCCAAACACAGUAACCACACCUGCACUGGUACUAAACUCAUCAGCAACAGCCACCUCUCUACCCUGGAAUUCAGCACCAGAACACGACAAAGCUGCCUUCACCAACUGCAAAUCCAGCGAAGACAAGUUCACCCUACGUCCAGCGCAUAAUCCUUCACUGCUGCCACUCCUAACCUCCACAGUCUCUCCACCACUGCUUCUGGAAGACGGAACAACCACCGACACCCAUGGUGGAACCUCCCACCACAACUGGAUUGCAAAACAAAGAGACCCAACAACCAACCGCAAAGAACCAGACAAACCCUUACCUUCUGAUUUCACCAAAACCCAUGCCCAUUGCUACUGUACAAAACCAGCGGUAUCCUCAUCCACAGCGACGAAACCACCACAGCAAUCCCCAAUUUUCCAAAACAUGUUGCGACUCCAAAAAUUAAGGGGAUGACCCACCACCCUCACCCACACCUCCUUAGCAAGCCCUCCAGUCCAACAACCAUCCACUUCUGGUCCCCACUUCUGCAAAACUAAAAGCUUCUCUCUAAACCAAUGGGAGCCUCUCUGCAACACCCUUUCAGCUUCAAAACUAUCCUCAAACUCAAACAGAAGAAGUGCCCCAUGCAACUUGGAAAUCUUGAGCGCUUCAGAUGCCAAGAAUUAAUACCCCAAUUCCGCAACGCAAACAAAUCUGGAAUGAAAGCAGCAUCCUCUCCCCAACGACCAACCAAGCACCACCCCAACUGCUCCUCUCUAUGCCUCAGUUCUGGACCCCCAAAAUGGUCCCAAAUCGCAUCCCCUAACCUGUCACCCUUUUGCUUUGACAACAUCAGCAAAAGACCUUGAAUCCUUUCGCACAGGCACAGCAGGCCCAGAAGAACGCAAAGAGAACGCAGCUUCUCAGCCAAAGUGGCCGACCCCCCUGCAAACCCUUUACCCUCAGGAAAGACCUGACAAAACCUCUUCGCUGCAUGAUCCAAAACAGAACGAAAAGGGAACUGACCUGCCUGAUUAGAUUGCUGUUCCAGCCUAAAUUUCCUGCCCCCAUCCUCCCAACAUUUAUCAAACUUCCACAGACAAUCCUCCUACAACAAGCCUCCACUCCUUCCAAAAGGCAAUGAAGGCUUAAAUUCCCAAACUGAAUCCAAGAAGAAAACCCUCAAACUUCUCUCGACAAUGACCCCAUGAAGUUUCUCACCAACUACCUCCACUGAAAGUUCAAAUGAUUUCGACUCCACAUCAAAACAACACUUACCUCCUCUCAUGCCUACUCCCCUUUUUCUACAUUGAGCAUAUCAGAAACUAUUCAAAAGCUGUCAUGUUGUGUCAACAUGGAUCUCAACAUGCUUCCCUUUUUUAAUCCCUCUAUUUAUGCCUGCGUUGAAUUUGGCUUCCUAAUUGUGAUCAAUGUAAUUUCCAAUGGUUUAUGCAACUUGACCAAAAAAAAAACGAACUUUAAUAAUGAAAGGCAAACAUUAAUACUUGAGCUAAUUUAUAUGAUUGCCUAUUUUGACUUAUCAGUAUGAACUCGGUGGGAUUUGCUUCUAGUUCAAAAACUGAACAUGCUUUAAUAUCAAAGCAUUGAGGUCAACUAAAAAUUCUAUGGAACAGCUGCAAAAAUGAUAAAUUUGAAAUUCAUCUGAAUGCCUUAAUGGCAUUACCUUUCACUGCUUUGUGAAUCAUAUGACAGUUGUAUUUCAUAUUUUUUCUCUCCAUGUCACAGAUAGUGGAGGUACGGGACUUUGCGGGUGAAGAGAUAGAAGUAAAGAAGCUUGUUGAUGCUGCUUCAAAGGAGGCAUCUGAAAAGGCCAAAGGUCCAGCUGGUACCACAUCUGCAGUUGAUGCUGUUCUAGAACAAAUCAAGAAGAAACCAAAACUGAGUGUGCUUGACAAGACAAAAAUGGACUGGGGUGGGUUCAAGGAAGACAACAAAGGUCUAGAAGAGGAGUUGGAUGCAUAUAAGAAGAGCUCAAACCAGUAUCUGGACAAGGUUUCUUUCUUACAGCGAGCAGAUUACAGGGAAUUUGAGAGGGAGAGGGAUGCUCGGCUGGCUUUGCACGCCAGAAGAAGGCCAGAUAUGAGUGAGGAUCCAUGAAAGUACCAUACCUUGCUUUCUAAUUAAUUUUUUUUUUUAUAAUUAUUGUUAUUUGGAAAUUGAAGGGGAGAAGAUAUGGAAGAGUUGCAAAUUGAACGAGGCUAAUUGUUUUUGUAUAGUGUGUAGGAUGGGAUAUUCGCCUUCACAGCAAUGGGGUUUCCUACUACUUGUAUACAAGAAAAUCUGUGCCCUCUUUUCUUAGUCAGGGGUCAUAGGUCCGUUUGAUUCUCCUAAUGGGGAAACCGAGGGAUGAAAUCUUGUGCAAAUGUUCUUGUAUCUUUUCCUCUUUUAUUUAAUGAUGACCGAUGUUUAAUUUUAUCAUCUAUAUGUUACCAUUUAUAUAUUUUCCUUUGCUAUUGCCAUUUUCAUCUCAUGACUCCAAGUUGAUCAUGGAAUCAAUAAUUUUUAAUCCCAGUAUUAUACAAGCCUUUUCGCACAAGGAAAACAAAACUUUACUCAAAACGCCUGAUCUAUACCCUCUAUGAUGACUGAUAACAAAUAGUAAAGGCUUUUGUUGCUUAAUGAUUCAUAACAAGUAAUGUGAAUGACAUUGUCAAACAAUCCCAUAUCUUCGUCUGCUGCCUUGUGACUAAGCCAUGGUGCGAAUGUUUCCUUAACUACUACUCCGGGUGGCGAUUGGAAGGCUUGAUUUCACGUCAAUCGUCCAUGCUUGGGAUGAUGACCCCUGAUCAGUCCUUCCCCACGCUCUGCCCUUCUCCAUCCCUACGCCGCGUUCCUAGUUGAUGGUAGUGGCAUCUUCUCAUCAAAAGCAAAUUUCUUAGUUGCUGGUAGGGUUAUCUCCUCAUCAAAAGUGAUCCCAAUUAGAGGCUCACAUUCUUUAUACCACCACCACACCUGAAACGUUUCAUGCCUCCGUUUGAUUGCUGAGAAAAGAUAUGAUAAAGCACAGAGAAAGGAAAAACAGAAACCAAUACCUUCGAAGUAACAGAAGCAACAUUGAAGCACGUCCCACUGAGAUUACCAGCCACAUCAUUCUUCUCCAAUCCGGAGGUGAUCAACCUGUACAGAGAGUAGUAUCUUCUGGGAAACAAUAGAUGCAUCUCCAUUACAACUAAAUUAUCUAAUGCAAUCCUCUUACAAAAUAAUAAUCCAACUUCUAGUCAUAUUUGUGUCAAAGAAAUUUGAUGCAAUUAUCAUAUAAUUAUAAACAAUCAAAUUCAAAUUUAAGCAAAUUCUAUCAUUUUUUUCCAGUCUACAUAAGAUUCAACUACCACCCAUAUUAUAGCUUACACGGCCAAACAACCUCAAUACAAUAACAAACAAAUCCCAGAAAAUUUGAGAG